CGGAGAAGAACAAAAAGCACACACAUUCACGACACAGACAACGCAAAACAAUGCAUAAUUCAUCGUCGCCGCUGCCGCUGUCGCUGCCGCUGCGUCGUCAUUCGAACGGUGUGCGUUGUUCCCCCUGAUGGCGCGAGGCGAGCGCAGAUGUCUGAUUGCGCACCGCUACAACAAAACAACUGCAACAACAGUGCUCCACGAAUUCAUCAGUCAAGUUUGCCCAGAACUCAUCUUUCGGCACGGCGCACAGUGGCUCCACAACAAAAACUGAUCAAAGUGAGGUGCCCCCAGCUUCAAAACAGUAGAGCCAUCUUCGAACCACUGUGCAUCGCACCGGUUGAAAUAUUACGGCGACAACGAGCGUGGUAGAACCGUACCGAACAGAAAAAAAGCUUCGGCAGAACCCGCAGCACGACGACAACAGCAACGCUCUGACUCCGGCAUGAUUAAUUUCUCUCACUUUUCAGCUGAAAUCGUCUGAAUUGGAAGUGAAAAGAAGCAAUUGUCAUCAUUAUUCUUGCUUAAUUGCUUUUUGUUCCAGUGAAAAGGUGUUAUUACAUUGGACCCGGCGAGGGGCCUGUCAGCACCUUGGAAGCGCGUCGUCGCGGUUGUCAUAACUUGCCAUAUCUCAACGAGCAGCAGCAGCAGCAGUUGCACGUCGAUCCGAUCCCGGUUUUCACUUCCAGCUUUCCAAGGCUGCGUGGUUCUCUAAUGAUUGUCGAAGAAAUUUGAAGUCAAGGCCACUUCAAGGAAGGGCCCGAUCCGAUGGGACGUACAAGACCACUCUGAAGGCGGCACACGCAUCUUAGUGACUUCUAGUGAUGAGAGGACGCGCAGGCAGGUUGCGGCGAAUCAAUUUCCGCUGAGUCACUGUACGUCAGCCCACAGCAAGAGGAUUGGGUUGAUGAUGUUAUCACGAGAAGUGAAUAUGCAUACAUGGGUGAUGUGUAUAAAUAUCUUCCUUGGACAUCCACGGCAUUGGCGUAGUAAUAGGGGAAAUCAGGGGUCAGUCCCACUUCUAAAAAAUAAAAAGGUCUCAACUGCAUGACUACUUUCAGAUUACAGGUUUG